rnacentral:rRNA from 1 species
AAAUUGAAGAGUUUGAUCAUGGCUCAGAUUGAACGUUGGCGGCAGGCCUAACACAUGCAAGUCGAACGGUAACAGGAAGCAGCUUGCUGCUUUGCUGACGAGUGGCGGACGGGUGAGUAAUGUCUGGGAAACUGCCUGAUGGAGGGGGAUAACUACUGGAAACG